UGCCACCGCCUCCUCCCCGCCCGCCCCCUUCCAUCGCUAUUCAGCCGCGCUCCUCUCUCCUCUCCAACCCCCCUUUGCACGGAUUAAGCUGAGGAGCGUGGAAAGUUCCUGCAAAACACUACGUGCGCUGCAUGGAUCCACUUUUCAUGGGAAUGAAGCUGGUAAAGAAACUGGCAGCCAGCGACAGGGAAUGAGUCUCCUCCUUCAGUUACGGGCUGUCAGCAGACAAGUAACACUGUUUCUGUUCAAGAUGUUCUCUUUUAGAAUGGAAAAGUGAUGGAAUGACUUAAUCUUUUCCUGUAUUUCAUUGUUUUUCCACUUGAAAGUCGCUAGUGUUGCUCUUGCAUACGAACGGUGAUUUUUUUGUAAGGCAGUGGGAUAACUGUAUGUGUUGCCGUUCUGGAUACGUGGACAAAUGGAGUGCUGAAUACUCUUCACUUUCCAUUUCUUUAUCAGGCUCCAUCUUCUUUGUAUUCAACAGAACAAGAACUAUUACUUGCAUCUGACUUCAAUCAUAUUUGCCAUUGAUUUGAUCCUUAUUUUAGGGAGUAUUAAGCAUGUCCUCAAAGGAGAGCCCUUGAACAGAAAUAGAGAUUUUAUAAUCAUCUAGUAAUUUGGUACAUUGACCUUGCAAAUUCAACUGGCCUAGUUUGAGGUUGGGCGAGACACUUAAAGCCAAGUGGGUACCAGUAAGUGAAAGACAAUAGGGAAUGUUUAGAGCUAUUAGCAGGUUAAUACUUUUCAAUGUUUAAGGAUCAUUGGAGUGAUGUUAGUGUCAAUCAAAUGUAACUAUUUUGAGGUAUAACUAACUCCAUUGCAACUUGCUUUUCAGUUUAGCUUUAGAAAGCUCUUUGCAUGUUCCUUCCUUCACAAAUAAACUUUCUCUUCAGUUGCUAGAAAUUUAAAAUGGGCUGAUGAGGACAGAGUGAGUGAAGAGUAUUGUGUGCAGAAGAAACAGAUCAAGUUGAAUUUCCCCUCCUAAGCAAAUUUAAGCAAGAAUAAACAAGUCUGAACAGGCUGCCCAGGGAAGUGGUGGAGCCACCAUCCCUGGAGGUAUCUAAAAGACACGCAGAUGUGGUGCUUAGGGACAUGGUUUAGUGGUGGACUCGGUAGUGCUAGGUUAACCAUUGGACUUGAUCUUAAAGGUCUUUUCCAACCUAAAUGAUUCUAUGAUCUGGGGGGGGUGGUGGGGUGGUCCUGAGCCAGUUAGUGCUGUUGAAGACUUAUUCAGGUUGGGGGACGGAGAGCAAGAAAGGUAGUGAAGGCAAAGUGGAAAGGUGUGGAAAGGGCAUGGGAGCAAGUGGCAGAAGCAAUCAGCACGGCAGCUACAGCUGUGAAGGUCUGUGCACUAGGUGGGCUCCGGUUGUGAAGUGGUUGUGCGCUGCUGCAGCGGGGCUGGAACACGCCUGCUGGCAGACAGGCUGUUGCAUUGGAUAGUCUGCACUUCUGAAGUGUAAAAUGUGUUGCAUUCCAAAGUUAAAAAAAUAACAAUGCAUUUCUCAGACUGGAAAGAUAACGUUGAAUUGCAAUGAGAGUGUUUGCGGAAGAGAAUGUUUUAAUAUUUGCUUUACUUGAGGUCAUUUCCAGUAUUGCAAAAGAGGGUGUUGCAGAAUUUUAAAUUAUUUUUUAUUUGUUUAGCACAGAGUAGUGUAGGUUGGGUGCAGCCUUAGACAGCGCAGUCGGGUUUGGAAGCGCUUGUGGCUGUGCAAAAAGAAAUCUUUAAAUGAGCUACGAAAGUCGAAUGAUUUACAAAGCGAAGUUGUUAAAGCAACCCUUCUCCAGCUGUACCCAGGGCCUUCUGGGGAAGGGACAGGGCCUAGAAAAUGCUGAGCAUGUUUAGGUGCCAUAGCAAAGAAAACAAGAACAAAGCAUGUGCGACACAUUGACUACGCAGGUAUCAUAAAGGCGAGAACAAUGUCUGACUGAAAACAGUCAUUUACAAAAAAGAAGUCAAUGGGUUUAAAAUGUAUGAGGCUCAGAAGUCCCAUUCUCUCAAGUUCCAUGCAAACUGAUUUUCAGGAAGAUCUUUUUACAAAGUCCCACCUGCCCAAAGUGCUGAUGAGCUGCUUUUGAUCAUGAUUGACCUGGAAGCAAAAUGAAAAACAAUAUUGAGAUAAAGCAAAGACCAAUUAAAAUGACUUUUUCUAACAGGAUGGUUAUACUUAUUUGGUCAUUAGCAAGUUGAGAGCAAUGACUUGUUUUUCGGUAGAGGACUUGAGACAUGAAUUUACUGGAGAGUUACUGUACUGAAAAGAAUGGAGAUACUUAAAAUGUGUGAUUAUUUUAGUUCCAUAACUACUACUUGUACAAGAAACUUCCAAGCCUAAUUCAUUUACAGUUGUUUAUAUUUACGUAUAUAUGCAAGAACACUAAUAAUAUUCCAUUACCCUCUAUCCUCAACUCGGUGUGUAAAUUAGUCCUGUCAACUCCCCGCUAGCCAAGAAUAUACAGCCAUAAUGGAAUAUACCCGGAAUGGGCUGAGAAACACUGUUCACAUCAGGGGCCAACAAGAGGAAUUUGUUAGGACAGCAGAUCAAGAACACUCCUAACUGUUUUGUGCUAAGUGAGGGACCCCCCUGUAGCAGGAACAUUCUUCAGAGACCAUGUCUAUCUCCUGUGAGGACAUGAACAGAGGCAGAAGAGAUGUCGGAAGUCCGUGUAUCAAAAGAUUAGUUAAAAAUAUUCUCAGGAGGGAUCAGUAGUAUGUAACAAAGGAGACUUUCUCAGCACAAGCAUAGAAAUAUUCUCUUUUUCCUUUUUGCACUUACUAUGCCAAGCAGACUUGUUAAUUUUUAUUUCAAUCAUUUCAUAAGCAGAAAUCUUCCCAGGGAAAAACUUAAACUGUUUUCAACACAGUUUGUAGACCAAAGAAAUCCCACCUUUUAAUCCCAAUUCACCCAUUCACCCCUAUCAGUUCCCUAACAGCUCCUUGUGGCAUUGCUCUGCCAUUUUAAUUAUUGUUCUUCGAAGACAGAAAUACUGAGUGAUUAUGUGUGAGACUUCUAGAAAAGGAUUGCAAGACUCCCAUAAAAAUCCUGAAACUGGCAACUGGGGUAAACAGAAUUCUGUAAAUAGGAGUUGUGGUGCGAGGGGGACAAGGCAAAGCUCGUAGCACUCCUCCAGGCUUUAAGCUAAAUAAUGUGCCUAUGCAACUGUCACACGGAACGACUCUACAUUUCUAGAUGUGCAUCACGUAUGGAGUGUACACUACCAGUAUGUAUUUCAAAACACAUUGAGUUACAACUGGUGCAAAACUGUGUGUAUGCUGAGCCAAAAAGUCACACAAACUUGAGAAGGCAGCAGUUGAAAGAGCCGGUAGAUUAUUUGGAACAAGUAGGCAAACCGUGUGUAAGAAAGUCAAUAAUUGUUCCUGUUACCAGCACGCACCGGCCCGUGGGUGCAGGAAUUCAGCACCAGCGGCUUGGUGCCGUUAUGCUGGGUUAUGGCGCGCAGGAUUCCAACACUUGAGAUGCUCUGUGCAAAGCAAGAUCGAACAGACACAGUCUGGCAACAGGAUUUAGUAAUCCGCACAUGCAAAUGACUUCUUUUUAUCCUUUAAAGUGAGAACUGUAAAAUGUAAUGACAGCAGUUUCAAGUAAACAUUAACUAUUUCAGUGAUUAUUAUUAUCACAAAUACCACGUUAUUUAUCUAAUUGCGGUUAAUGUGUGAACAGAAUUACACCUCUUAUCAGACCUCUAGAUAUACCCUUCUGCCUUCACCUGGGAUGUAGGUUAUUAGUUUAUUAGGGUGUUUCAUAGCAUCUUUGAGCUUUCUCCAGAAUCUCAGGUGUUACCAGUACCUGGUGUGACAGUCGUGAGGACAGACAGACAAAAGAGAGUCCCAGCAGCUCAUCAGGAGCUGACUUCAAAAACCCACAUUUGUCCAGGUCAGUGAUUCUUAGCUGUCUCUUGCCUGAAACACACUCCCAUAGAGGUGUGAAGCCUCUGUACAGCUCAGCUUUUCUUAACCUUCAGCUGUGGUUUUCCUAAAAGAAGUGCAUGGAUUCCUGUGGGGCAGCAACCAGAAGCCACUGAUCUAAAUUACACAGCGGAGGACUGAAUGGUUUUCCUUACAUAACAGAUGUUGAUACACCAUUUGGUGACCCCUUCAGAAAUACUUUGGUACUUGUGCUUAGUGAAAUGAUUAAACUCUAAAUGAUAGAAUGUAUUAUUUUCUUUUAAAAAUAUCUCUUAGAACCUAUUUUUUCCCCAAGUGAUAGAGGGAAAAUGACAUUGAAGAAGCCAAGGGAAUCUGAAUGUGUCAUAGAUUCCACUUUUUAAGUAAAUUAACAUCUUCCAGGAUGAGUGAAAGAGAAUGCAAAAUGUUUAGAGGUUUAGUGGUUUGUGUGUGUGGACCUAUGUAAUUUAAAAAUUUUAUAGCAGAAUUACAAUGAUGCAUAUGUAAUUGUAAUUUAUAUUUAAGAAUAAAACAAAUGUCACCCUAGAA